GUCGUGAUUGUCUUUAUGCUUUGGGCCUCUGCAGUGAAUGGGGCUGAAAACCCUACUAGACCAACUCUACAACAGCUCAGAGAAUUUCUGAAUACCACAGGGGAUAUAUAUCUAUAUUCGUCAAGUGAUCCUAAUUCCUUCAAUGUUCACCAAGGUUAUGUUGAUGGCGAAGAUGUUGAAGAAAUGAAUGAAACAUGCACUCAUUAUCAUCCUAUAAUGAAUGGAACUGACAAAUACAUCUUCAAUAUGUCAUAUAUAUUCAACUCUACGUGGCACACAGAAAUGAUUAACGUAACCCUCGGAAACACUUCAGUUGGUAAUCCCUGUAUGAAGGAGAGUUGGAAUUCAAGUCAAGUCGAACUGCGCCUACGUGUCUGUGACCCGCAUGUUGGUUGUUGCAUGUUUACAUACCUGGAUGGAAAGAAUCUGAAAUGUGAAACCCACGUAAGAGGAGAAAAUGUGACAUCGUAUCAUACGCUUCAAAGUGAUACCUGCAGGAACCGCACUAAAAGGCACUGUCCAUCUGGAGUUUACACAGUCUAUAAUGACAACUGCACAACCUUGUCGAAGGAAUGAGAUUAUUCAUUGAAAAUAAAU
rnacentral:lncRNA from 1 species